GACGGAGGAUGCAAGCGUUAUCCGGAAUGAUUGGGCGUAAAGCGUCCGCAGGUGGCAGUUCAAGUCUGCUGUCAAAGACCGGGGCUUAACUUCGGAAAGGCAGUGGAAACUGAACAGCUAGAGUAUGGUAGGGGCAGAGGGAAUUCCUGGUGUAGCGGUGAAAUGCGUAGAUAUCUGGAGGAACACCGGUGGCGAAGGCGGCAUCCUGGACCAACACUGACGCUGAGGAGCGAAAGCCAGGGGAGCAAACGGG
rnacentral:rRNA from 1 species